AGUGAACGCUGGCGGUAGGCCUAACACAUGCAAGUCGAACGGCAGCACAGUAAGAGCUUGCUCUUACGGGUGGCGAGUGGCGGACGGGUGAGGAAUACAUCGGAAUCUACUUUUUCGUGGGGGAUAACGUAGGGAAACUUACGCUAAUACCGCAUACGACCUACGGGUGAAAGCAGGGGAUCUUCGGACCUUGCGCGAUUGAAUGAGCCGAUGUCGGAUUAGCUAGUUGGCGGGGUAAAGGCGCACCAAGGCGACGAUCCGUAGCUGGUCUGAGAGGAUGAUCAGCCACACUGGAACUGAGACUCGGUCCAGACUCCUACGGGAGGCAGCAGUGGGGAAUAUUGGACGAUGGGCGCAAGCCUGAUCCAGCCAUACCGCGUGGGUGAAGAAGGCCUUCGGGUUGUAAAGCCCUUUUGUUGGGAAAGAAAAGCAGCAGGUUAAUACCGCGCUGUUCUGACGGUACCCAAAGAAUAAGCUCCGGCUAACUUCGUG
rnacentral:rRNA from 1 species